rnacentral:rRNA from 1 species
GACGGAGGAUGCAAGUGUUAUCCGGAAUCACUGGGCGUAAAGCGUCUGUAGGUUGUUCAAUAAGUCAACUGUUAAAUCUUGAGGCUCAACUUCAAAAUCGCAGUCGAAACUAUUAAACUAGAGUAUAGUAGGGGUAAAGGGAAUUUCCAGUGGAGCGGUGAAAUGCGUAGAUAUCUGGAGGAACACCGGUGGCGAAGGCGGCAUCCUGGACCGGUAUUGACGCUGAGGAGCGAAAGCCAGGGGAGCAAACGGG